rnacentral:lncRNA from 1 species
AACUGCUAAUUAAGAUGUAUCACAAAUUUCAGAGCUUAGGCUCAAAACUGACAAUCAUAAAUUCAUAGUGUGAGAAACUGACUAGGGUAAAGUUAUACAACGUCCAGUUAUAUUAUAAGAUUAUCUGUAUACUCAAGUUGACCAUUAAAACUGUCAAACCAAUUUAAGGCAUUUAUCAUGUGAAGGAUAUCGAUUCCAAUGGUUAUGCAAGUUAUACCAUUAAACCUUAAUAACAUUACAUAACAUAUCAGGCAAGAGCCAAUCAGCAUUAUUUAUGUUAACCAAUUUCAUACAAGGGUAAAUUGAGUGAUAUAGACUACCAAUUUUGUUAAAUUACUGCUCGAUUUCCUCUUGGUAUUCUUUGUGUUUCUUAGACUCGUCAUAAUCUUCUGAUUCGGUUUAUAGUUUCUUUCGCUUCUUGGGGAGGAGAAGCACCUGUUCGCCCUGAGAUGUGAGUCGGCUGUCAGCUGUUCUUGGGCAAUAUCUUCCAGCAAGGAGCAUGAUCCCAGUGACUAAUUUCAGGCAGCACUGCUAGGAUGCUAGCCUAUCUCCUUCCUGGACUGGUAGUUGAGUGGGCACCUCGUCCGGUUUCUUCUCCUUCUGUUGGUUCCAGUGCUCGUGAAGGUCCACUUCAGAUUUUGAUUUGAAACUCCCACCGCAAAAUUAACGGAAGCUUCUGAGAUGUCUCUCAUUCCUGUGAUGUUGGAGUGGUGAAGCCAACGGAAAUUUGGCACAACACUUCUUGCAUUAGAACAUGGCUGUUAAAUAUCAUUGGGGACUCAGUCAUUACAAAUUGGUAAGGGUGUGGAUGCUGCCUUUUCCUCUGAGGAUAUCUGGUCACAGUUCCGUCUGGGAGGCAUUAUCGCACACCCGUUCAUCUACGGCAUGGUUGGCAGAGACCGGAGAAUCAGGUUCAUUAAAUUUUGGUACUGAGAGCUCAGGUUCAUUAAGUUUUGGUGCAGAGAGUUGGAAUUUUCAUUAAUUGCCGAUAAUAGAUCCUUCUGAGGACACAGUUGAGAAGUUGUAGAGGCGCUUUUUUAGUAUUGAAUAUUUCAGAAUUUCCGUAUUUGGUUUUCUGCACUCGAGUGGCGUCGGCUGAGGUUUGACAGUGAGCCUCGUAUGGAUUAGCUACAUCAAUGAGGUAUGCGUGACUAGCCUUCCUGUCUAUAGCGAUGAAGUCUGGACGGUAGUUUCCGGCAGGUGUAUAGAUUAAAGACUCGGCGAUAACCUUAAACAAUUAAUGCCAAAUUGUACCGUAUAUUAUCUUUCCAUGGUAUUAUACCUCCAUGCACCAACACAGGAAAUAAACUCACCAGUGUAUUCAAGUAGUAUGGAACACCGGAAUAAAUAUUGUACAGUAUGUAGGCCUACUAUCAGUAGGCUCCUGUAUGUAAAUUACAAGACAUGAUAUUAAUUUUAAAGUACAUCAAAACGCUACAAUUCAAGUUCGGUAUAUCUCGUAGGCGGUAUUCAAGUUGUUAUUAUUUAAAGCAGGGGUUCUCAACUAUAUCGCAACAGGGGCAAAAUUGUUGAUUGAAUAAAUUUUAAGGGCCAGGGCAAGGUGUACUAUUGUAACCGUGGGGUUUUAGAUGCCUUUCCCCUUGCCGGUUACUUGUUCCCAAUAGUCUAUGUGGCAGGGUGUCUCACACAGUAAAGCACAGAAACGAAGGUCCAAUCAAAGUAUAGUUUAGUUUGUGUAUUUAAUCAAGGAGUGUUCUAUAUCUACUCCACAACAAUUCUCCAAUAAUUCUAAUAAUGUUCUCCCUUCUCUCUCAUUGCUCUCUAUUUUUAAGGGAAGCUAGUCACCAUGGUAACCACCAAGGUGGGGUGAUCAUACUUGCACUAGAUUAAUGGGUGUUCUGACCCUCCUUGCUCUAGAUUGGAAUGUUAGUGGUUGGCCAUGAUGCCGUCACUUAUCAUAUUAGUUUUGUGACUUGACAUUGCUUUACGUAAGUGCAAGAGUGUAUAUUUUAUAGAUAUUUAAAUUUAAAGUACAAUUCCUUAGCAAGGUUACACAUGGUGCGUGGGGUUUGAGAGGGGGUGUUCCCCUUCCAGAAUUGGAUUUUGUUCAUAAUGUAUUAAAAGUACUUACCUUCUCCUUGGUCCAGAGACACUGCUUUGGGUUUCCAAAGCAAACAUCAGCGGGCCACUGUUCUUGUUUAUUUUCAGGAUCAGACCACUUAAUAUAGCCGCCACUGUUUAAACCUUUCAUAACACUGGGGAUUAUUCUCCGCAGUGUCUUCACAUUCAAAGUGGAUACCGGUGCCGGCAAAACUGGGAGAAUUAUUGGUGCUUUAAGUUUCACAAGCACAGCACAGAUCUGUCCACGUUUCUGAGAUUCUUAGCUUUCUGAAAUGUCUUUGGACAGCAUAUUCUGGAGCAUGGCCAAGCCUUUGAAACCGAGAAACCCGGUGUCUGUUGUGUAUACCACCAUUAUCUGUAUAGCCUUUCCUUUCGAUCUACCUACAGUAUAGUAAAAACAAGAAUGCAUAACAUAAUAGUUGUCGUAAUACAUAAAACGAAGUAAUGCAGUAAUAAAACAACUACACAUCACCUCAAUAAAGGUAGAUUUAGACAAUUUAAGAAUAAAUAAUAAAGCUUUGAGUGUGCACCUAAAAUGAGUGGGCCAAAGGUCAAACAACCCCUAUUAAAGGAAGACUUAUUUUUUUCUUUCAUUGCAUCACAACAACUGCAGCAGUCUCGACAUGAGAACAAAAUAAUUCGACCUAAUAUUUUGACACCUUUUGAGCAGUAAACCAGAAUAGCACUGUUGUAGUUGUCGUUUAACUUAUUCAAAACUGGGGAGCAUUUACAGGUAUUCAUAGUUCAAUCGAUUUAUAAUAAAAUAUAUUUCAAUUACACUACUUGGAUAUCAAAAGCUCAACUUUUUGACGGGUUAGCCAAUUUUAUAAUAAGGGUAAUACAGAAACAUACCCAGUUGAUCAUAAUAUUAUGGUUAUUAAAUUCUAUAGUUUAAAUUAUUGAGAUUCCAGUGUAAUUAUAAAUUGUAAGUUAAAAUACAUAUCUUAAAAAAUAUUAUUAUUAUUACUGUUAUUAUUAUUAUUAUUGUUAUUAUUAUUAUAUUAGUAUCAAAACAGUUAUUUUGUAUUUCUCUCUAUAUAGUGAGAGCUCAUCUUAUUAACUACAAUUUUCUACCAAUAGCAUAUAUACUGUAGUACGCAGAAACUCCAAAAUCCGAGAUUUGAAUAAAAAUUUGAAAACUCCGAUUUCGGAGGUUUGAAUAAAAGUUUGAAAGCACUGAUUUCGUUAGUACGCAGAACCUCCGAAAUUCAAGGUUUGAAUAAAAGUUUGAAAAAUCGGAUUUUGGAGUUUUCGCGUAUAGUACACAGAAACUCCAGUUGGAGGUUUGAAUAAAAGUUUAAAAACUCUGAUUUUCGAGGUUGCGCGUAUAGUACGCAGAAACUGCAAAAUCGGAGGUUUCAAUAAAAGUUUUAAAACUCCGAUUUUGGAGGUUUCGCAUACCUAUAGUAGGCUUACGCAAAACCUCCAAAAUCGGAGGUUUGAAUUAAAGUAAAACUGGAGUAAAACUCCAGUUGGAGUUUUGAAUAAAAGUUUGAAUCCGAGGUUUGAAUAAAAGUUUGAAAACUCCAAUUUCGGAGGCUUUGCGUAUAGUACGCAAAACCUCCGAAAUCGGAGGGUUGGAUAAAACUUUUGCUCUCUCUAUAUAGAGAGCUUGUUUAAUUAAUAGUACAAACUCUGAAAUUGGAGGUAGAUUUCAGUAUUAAUAUCAGCAUUUAGGCAUGCUGAUUUUACAUCCAUUUGGUGUACAGUGAGGUUUGCUGUGCAGCAACUUGCAUCUAAUUGAGGACAUGUUGGCUGUAAGUGAGAAUGUGUCAUGGUAAUCAAUACCUUCUACUUGACUAAAUCGCUUAGUGAUAUAUCUUGCUUUGUAUGUCUGGGUACCUUCAGCAGGGGCGUAGGCUGGGGGGAGGGGUGCACUGUACUGCAACAAAAAAUUUGCAGGGCAGCAAGUAGAACUUUAUUAGGCCAACAAAAAUACACAUAUAAGCCUAUGAUUUGCCUAGUCGUAAAACAAAAUAGAAACUCAUUUUUUAUCCCAAAUGUGAAUAAACACUACAAUAAUACGAAAAAUA